UACGGAAGGCAGCAGUGGGGAAUAUUGCACAAUGGGCGAAAGCCUGAUGCAGCUAUGCCGCGUGUAUGAAGAAGGCCUUAGGGUUGUAAAGUACUUUCAUCGGGGAGGAAAAAACAAAACUAAUAAUUUUAUUUCUUGACGUUACCCGAAAAAGAAGCACCGGCUAACUCCGUGCCAGCAGCCGCGGUAAUACGGAGGGUGCUAGCGUUAAUCAGAAUUACUGGGCGUAAAGAGCACGUAGGUGGUUUUUUUAAGUCAGAUGUGAAAUCCCUGGGCUUAACCUGGAACUGCAUUUUGAAACUGAAAUACUAGAGUAUCGUAGAGGGAGGUAGAAUUCUAGGUGUAGCGGUGAAAUGCGUAGAUAUCUGGAGGAAUACCUGUGGCGAAAGCGGCCUCCUAAACGAAUACUGACACUGAGGUGCGAAAGCGUGGGGAGCGAAACAGGGAUUAGAUACC
rnacentral:rRNA from 1 species